UUACGCAGAACUGUACCAUGGAUAAGGCUAGUAGAUACACCAUUCAAUUUUGUAUGGUUCCUAACAGCAGAAACUUUACAAAUCUUUCAGGAUGCCCUAGACAUGGAGGCUGGAAGACCCUGUACGUCUAAUUCCUAGAUCUGAGAUGCCGCUAACUAAAAUGGGCAAUUACUGCUUAAAAGGAGAGAACAAAGAGUGAGCAGGAAUUAUACAAAGAAAAUCUUGACCUUCAAAUAUUUAAGAGUGGAAAAGCUGUUAGAUUUAAAUUUCUCGGUGAGCUACUGACAAUGUUUUCAACAUUCAUUCAUAACUCACAAGAGUUGUAGUAAUUGAAAAUGUAUUUCUUCAAAGAGCUAUCUAUAAGCAAACUCUGAACAGCCAGUUAAAGGCUUCUUCCAAGGGUCCUGUGAGCCAUAUGCUCUACUUCUAAUCUGGCUCCACCAAAGUCACUCCAGUUUACCUCAGCAAGCGUUUGACUGUCUCUACAGUCACACUAAGCUGUGAGAGAUGGAAAGUUACUUUCUCCAAGACUGAUGCUAGCCCCACUGCAGUCAAUGAAAGCUUUCCCAUUUCAUCUGCAAACACAAGCAAGUGCCUUCCCUCUUAGUUGAUGUUUAUCAAGUUUCCAAAUGUUAAAAAUGAAUAUUGGAACAAAACCAAAACAAGCUGGUAUUGUGAUUUGUUGUAAUAUUGACUUUUAGAAAGCCAAGAAUUGCUUGCAUCUAGUGCAUAGCACUGUUUGAGAUGCUGGUUGUUUUCCUGUAUAUUAGGAAUUAUCUGCAGCACCUGAGAUGCCACCAUGAGUAGCAACCAAACCUGAGGUGCCUCUGACAGGAUAGGCAGCCUCCCUGCCCCCAAGGCCUAAUGUGGCCCCCACACCUCUCCCACCUGUGCCUAAGCAGCCAACAGGAACCAGCUGUGUACCAGGCACAGCCCAGCAGCAGGGGAGAGGCUGUCUUAGAAAGCUUUUACAGAAAUUGUGACGGAAACAAAGUAUGGACAAAGCCUGCCUGGCAUGGAGAGCUGGAAGAGGAAAAGGGAAUGUAUUGAAGUUGGCUCUUGCUUUUGAAAGUCUGAAGCCUUAUGCUGUUCUUCUGAAGAAGAAAAGAAAGUGUCUGUGCUGCCUUCAGACGCCAGCCCUGUGGAUAUGUUCUGGCUUUGUGACUCUGCUUCCCCAAACUUGGGCCCUGUGCUGUAUUCCCAUCUUCCUAAACCAAGAAUCUGGACUGCAAUGAAUACCCAGGGCCAUGCUUCACAUCUUCCAAAUCUUUCAUCUGGGGACAUACUCCCUGCCUGAUAGAAGCAGGUGUAGAGCAGGAUGGAGAGCUACAAGUACAGUGCAGCAAGCUGCUGCUUGGACUGCUUGUGGUAACAGUUACUCCUGUGAGGAAGAAGGAGCAAUGCCAGCUGCAGACAGAAGCAUUCUAGAGUGGGACCUGGAAGAGCAGAUGUGAGCAUACAGAAAACAAGCAGACAUGAUGAGCUCUCCACCCAGAUUCUGGAUUUCUGCUUUAACUUGACUGCAGAUUUUGAGCUGGUGGGAGUACAGCUUGAUCUGUUCUAGUUCUCUGAACUCUGGACUACUUGGAGGGAAAUACUGCUCUGUGAUGAACAGGCCAGUCACAUAAGGCCUGGUAUGCAUUUGUUCUAAAGCUGCUUUUCAUUGCUCUGGCAGAAUAAAGGGAUCUUAAGGUGAAUGGUGAGUCCCUACUGUGCUACCACAGCUGUAAAACCUGGGCAUGAUAUAAAAAAAAAAUAGAUCCCUACAGUUUAUCACAGAUACAUUUUUAGCCUUUAUGUGCUGUACUUAUACUAGAAAUACGGUCACAUUCUUUUGAUAGGAAAUUGUGUUCAGCUUUGUAUAUUAAAAAAUAAGGCAUAUUCCUACCAACUGCAGUGGGAACAACCAUCUCUGGUUUUAUCCAGUUAGACCUUCGGGCUUAUGGUAUUGUCAUCAAUGCAGUAGGUGAUUUAAAAUCCAGGAUGUAAUAAAACUCAGAAAACACAUCAAUUCUACUUAAUUCAUUUGAAAUACUUCUUGUCAACUACUGGCUUUGCUGAAGAAAGUGGGGUUUUGCUGUUUAAUAUGGAGGUGUGAGGAUUCUACUCUUCAUUACUAUGUAAUGGAAAAUAAAUGUUUAGUUAAGAAGCAAACAAGUUCGUGUUUUGGACUUCAGAAAAGCAAGCAAGGAAUAACUCAGAAACUGAAGUGAACAAAUUUUAAUUAAAUACCUAAUAUGAAUUAAAUGUCAGUCCUUAAUUUGUAUUUCUGCUAGAUCCACUACAAAAAUGUGUUGUGACCUUUGGCAUAGUUCAGGAGAACAUACAGAAGAGGUUCUUGUCAUCUCUUCUUUCUUAUGUGGGACAUUUUCAAAAAAAUCAGCGUAUGACAGAAAAAUAUGCUAAAAUAUGCCUUUAAUCGUUUCUUCCUUACGCAACAUUGCUUAACGUAGUGGGAUGUUAACAAGGGCCUUCCAUAAGAACAGGAUCAGAACUGUCUUAUAUCCAGACGAUGCAGAGGUGUUUUAUCUCUCAGAAAUAAUAUCCAUAGGAAACCUCAAAAUGAUUUGAUAAAUUAUGCCAUGGUUAAAAACACAAUGAAACCACCAUUCGCAGUCCAAGUAAAAAAGUAUUUUCAUAAGGCACUGGCACAGCAGUGGCACAAAAGGUCAAUACAAAUAAUUCUGCAGGAAAUUCUGACCAUAAACAAUAUUGUUCUUGCCUUACUUUGAUUUCAUCAGUUUGCUGAAGUAGUCACUGUCAUUUCCUUAGAAUGUGAAUUUGUCUUCAUGGUGAUUAAUAUUGGGAAUACUGUGAAUAAUCACACACAGACAGACUAAUACAGAUAGUUAUAAAUACGUACCUGAUUGCAACUAUUCGUUUACUAUAAGCUUUUACCUAACUUGAUCAUUUAAUCAGAUGAUCAUUUUGGCACAUCUGCUUUGAUCUUAUUUAUCAGGUAAUCAUUUUAAAGGAUGCCUUUUUAACUUUACUUUCAGAACAAAGUUUUUAUGUACAUAAAAACAGCUUUUAUGUUGGAACAUUAUGUGAGCCUACAGAAAGAAAUGUUUCAUACUGAUCCCUAAAUUUCUAAAUUCUAAAAGCAGUUAAUAUUUUAUUCUAUAUUUAUUCUCAUAGUAAGGAGGCUUUUAAUAAAGAUUUUAAUUUAUAACAUUCAAUUAAAAACAGGAUGUACUAACUGUCUUAACUAUAAUAUGGCUUUUCAGGUCACAAAUUAGACAGUGAACUUGAAACAAUCUUAUUUAAAACUAAUUUUAUUAACAAUGUACUUGUGAUUAAUUUGCCUGGGUUUAUGUUGCUCCUCUGCUGUGACUAUGUUCACAGUUCCUAACUCUGAGUCAUCUUUAAGUUCUGUGAGUAUGGAGUGAAAUAUAACUGAAAUCUGCUAAUCGUACCACAUUUUGUCACUUUUCUUUCUUUAAACACAGGAAGAGGGAUUCAUAAAAAUUUGAAAUGAGGAAGAGUGUAUCAGAGAGAUCCUGCUGAAGUAAAUGAUUUUUAAGAUGCUGCAAAUAAAAGUUUCAUAGUUUUUUCUUAACAGGAAAAACUGUAUGAACCAUGUAAUUCCACAGUUCUCAGUUUUGGUUCUCUGAAAUUACAGGGCAUGUGAACCAAAAUGAUUCAUUUGAACCUACUUUAUGAACUGGAAAAGGUCAAAGAGAUACAACAGUGAUUCUUCAUUAUGCAGUGCUUAUUUCAGCUUCUUGCUCAAUUCCAAAGCUAGAUGGAAGAAAUAAAGCAGGGUUUUGUUUUUCUGACUUGCAUGUAACUCUGAAUGCUGAAAAUCUUGUCAUACUUUACUGUGUGGCCCUGUUAACUGAAAAGGCAUAGUCAUAGCCGUGGGACAACUAUUAAUAAUAAAGUGAUGUGGUCUAACUGAAUGAGAGUUUCAGAAGUGACAACAAAUACUUAAAGUGAUUUAGAGUAGCCUAAGUCGAGGCAGCAGCUUUCUCAGCUACAGAGCAGGCUGUGAAAAAGUGCCUAAGAAAAAUGUGUGCAUGAAGAAUGCAAGGCCAUGUAUCUUUCAACAGUUACUUGAAUAUUGGUGUGCCAGGGCAAAUUUGACUCUCCAAAGCAAACAAUACAUACAAAUCAAUUUUUUAAAUGAAAUAAAAAUUCCACACAAUCUAACAGUUACUGAAAGGCAAAAAGGUGAAAUAUUUCCGCUAAAAAUAUGGAAGCCUUAACGCCAUUUAGAAGGGCAUUCAUAAAACCUCAUUAGAAUUCAUGUUCCUGUCUGGUCACCCAAUUCUUGAAAGGUUAUGGACCAAAUUCAGAGAACAGCUAUGCCCAGAGGAAUGGAAAGUAUCUUUUAUUUGAGGAGCCUAGAAGAGCACAGUAUAUAUAAUUUCACCAAAUAACAGCUGAAAAUAGCAAUUAUUGGUCUUUAAAAAUACCUGGGGGAUUUAAAAAAAAAAAACACAGUGAGAAAAGAGUUCUGUAAGUUAAAAGAUGAUUUGGCACAAGAACAAAGGGAUGUAGAAGUUCAAAGAUUUCUAGCCAUCAGAGGAGUGUGAGGAUUUUAUGCAUCUUUCCAAUGAAUGAAUGAAGAAGCCUGGUUACAUUCUAUGUCCUUAUAAGGGCUUUUCUGUUUUGGUUUUAUUUUUUUUUAAUAUAGUUUUACUCAUUUGUUUCUAUAGCAUAUAACUAUAUCUAAAAUACAAGCAACACCUAUAAUUGACUAGUGUAUUUCAGAUGCAUACAAGAUACCACAGGGAAUAAGUGCCAGAGAUCGGCUGACUCAAGGAUAUCAACUACGUGCAAGCUCUGAGCUAAGGCAAAUGGAAGUGAUUUGAGUUAAUUCGGAAAAAGGUUAAUAACUUGAAUGAGCUCACAGUUCCCAGCAGCUAAGAGGGUACACACUGAUUAUUAGCAUGAACAACUCAUGGCUGCUUUGUUCCUCACAGUAAUUUGUUCAUGUGUCUAAGUCUUGAGUCAGUGUAAUAAUAAAAAAAGAGGAAAACUUCUGGAAAGAAGUUCAGCAAGACUGUUCAGUCUCUAUACUAAGUAGAGUAAGAGUUUAGGACACUCAUCGUUCACUUUGGUACAUCUUUUUUCUGCAAUUGAUCCAUGACAGUUACUGUUUUAAUUGAAGAAGAAAAUCUUGAAAGCAGCCAUUCUCUAGUGCUCUUGAAAGGAGAGAGAUGUGCUGGAAGAACACCUAGGAAGAUCAGGAACAGGGACUUCCAAACAUUUUGUCUUGUUCUUCCACAGAUCACAAGUGUAUCAAUCAAUAAUAGGGUUUUUUUUUGUCUUGCUAGCUGGAAUAUGGAGAGACAAGAAACUAACGGAUUGUUGCUGCUUCAUGGAUUUUAGAAAACAAGUGCCACAUACGAAAAGAAUCAAAACUGAGCAGGAGUGAGGCAGUAUGUGAGAGUUUGGAAGAGAGCAACUAAACCAUGCUACCAUAGACCUAAAAGGCAGUAACAAAAACUAUGGAAGUAACUGCUUUAGAUGAUAGUUGCAUACUGAACUUUCAUUUCAUUGUGCCAUUGGCAUGGUCUGGCCUUAAAACAACCUUACUUAGGGCAGAUGAUUGUGAGGAAUUGCUUGGUCUAUUAAUUUCCUCAGCUAUUAUGCUGCCACCUUAGCAAGGAAAAUGAGAAUGCUUAUGAAUUUAUGUAGAUCCCAGUGUGUUUGGUUUUUUUAGCUGAGCUAUGUGAAGCUGUAGUAAUUUGACAGAAAUCAGGAUGCCCUCAUAGCUGUAACUUGUUGCAUUUGGACUAGUUUGCACAGAGCAGUCCAAGAUGAGGGGUAUGUAAAUAGGAGCCUUCAGGUACUUUUGCAUACACCAGUUCCAUCCUGGUUCAGAUGAGCAACAUGUCAAAAAUCUAGCUUUAAAAUUUCACCUUAAAUUGAUACAAAUUUUAACUUUGGUUCACACUGGCCAAGUUUCUUUCCCCGAGUGCUGUGACCACUUCAGUCACCAGUGUGAUUUCUAAACACAAAACAGUGCAAAGCCAGACUGCAGAAUAUAUGAAGAUAUAGCCCCACUGUCUGAGGCUGUAAUUUCAUAAGGAACAAAACAGUUUUGUUGAAAUCCAUUCUUGUAACACUAAUUCAGAUGAUAAAUACUUCUUUAAAAUGACAAAAAAAUCACAUCAAAACUGCAGGUAUGCAGAGGACAAAACUCUGUAAGGAGUAUGUACAUUGAAAGCCAUUUGACAUCAAUAAGCCAAAGAAACAGCCAGGGUGGGGGGCAUGGAGGAGAGAAAGAUAACCUAGAUACAGCAGAAACACAGAUUCUGCAAAAUAUAAGGUGAUUACACUGGAAAACACAUACAAGUUCAAGGAAGGGAAGAAAAGUCAGUAACCUGUGUUGCUCAGAGCUAGCACCUUUCCAAAACAGGUACCACUGAGCAGAACUCAAUGCCAAUUUAACAGUGCUGUGUUCCCACAUCUAAGGUGACUCACCUGGAUACCACUGGGUUGUUUCCUCGUAAUCUGCCCAAGGAAUUCAAGAAUGGACUAUACAAUACAUCUAAAAUGUUGCAUUCAUAGCUUACAGCAGUAGCUGAACACACCCCAAAAUAUAUACAUAUGUACAAAUACAUACAUAUACAUUUGUAUUUUUACACACACACACACACACACACACACACACUCUCACGUGUAUGAAGAAACCAGUCCACAUACAUGCAUACAAUUCAGACAGGAUCUAUAGCUCUUGGACUUGCACAGUUUCAAAUCCGCAUGUACAUCACGGCCAGAAAUCAAGAAAGAAAGGAAAAUCAGACAGGUAGAUGUAGAAACGUUACAAGUACUUUUGUAGAGUGACCAUCUCAGGUGUUGGAGGUUUUAUGGCUGGAUUAUCUGUGACCAAGUUUUAGUGCAUUACUACAUAAAUAACCUACCUGAUUG